rnacentral:ncRNA from 1 species
UAACAGAGGCGCGGAAAUCAUCAGUAACCCGGUUGACGGCAGGGCAUGCCGCGGGUGAAAGGGGUUUUCGCCGAGGCGGAAUCAGGCGCCCCUAUGAUUCUGCCGGGCCGUUGCAGAAUAUGUAACGGACUGUCACGGGAGUGGAGUGCUGUUU